ACCGUUCGGGGGKAAACGGACARAGCCCGUGAAUCCGGGCGGCAGAAUUCAAAAUCGGCGACGUUCGCGCGUCGCCGGUUUGAUAUUUCUGUCGCCGUAACAACGUACGGACGUCGCGACCCGUUCGGUGUCGGUCCGAGGAGACGUGUAAAAGUUCGUUGGCGUUUUUUUUUUCGCUCUUCGCGGGGCGGAAAUUACGUCGUCGAGUACGCGUUCGUCUGGCCGACUAGCCGGACGGUAAGCGUAACGGUGGCCGCGGCGGCCCGCCUUCGCGGGUGUGUGCGCCGUUCGCGGUACCGGUCUGCGACGARUSUUCRGGMCUACUUUUCGA
rnacentral:rRNA from 1 species